rnacentral:rRNA from 1 species
GAGCGGACAGAUGGGAGCUUGCUCCCUGAUGUUAGCGGCGGACGGGUGAGUAACACGUGGGUAACCUGCCUGUAAGACUGGGAUAACUCCGGGAAACCGGGGCUAAUACCGGAUGGUUGUCUGAACCGCAUGGUUCAGACAUAAAAGGUGGCUUCGGCUACCACUUACAGAUGGACCCGCGGCGCAUUAGCUAGUUGGUGAGGUAACGGCUCACCAAGGCGACGAUGCGUAGCCGACCUGA